rnacentral:rRNA from 1 species
GCUAACUCGGUGCCAGAAGCUGGGGGAAAAGGGGGGGUAGGGGCGUUAAUCGGAAUUACUGGGGGUAAAGAGGGGGCCGGCGGCCGCGCAAGUGGAGUGUGAAAGCUCCGAGCGUAACUUGGGAACUGCGCUCGAAACUACGUGGCUGGAGUGUGGCAGAGGAAGGUGGAAUUCCAGGUGUAGCGGUGAAAUGCGUAGAGAUCUGGAGGAACACCGAUGGCGAAGGCAGCCUUCUGGGCCAACACUGACGCUCAUGCACGAAAGCGUGGGGAGCAAACAGGAUUAGAUACCCGUGUAGUC